CAACACACACUGGUGUGUGUGUGGAUCGAAUAGAACACAUGAGGGGGGCGACCUGGGUUCUCCAAAACCCUAACUCACAUAAAACUCACAAAUUGAAGGCACAAAUCAGUUCCAAAACGAAAUCAGAGCUUAAAUUGAUGAUCUCCACUGUAAGGGGGUCAUAAGGAAAGGAAACCGGAGCGUCUAGUGGACAAGCCGGUGGCGACGCACGUUUGAAAGGUGAUGUUCAUCAUGCUCCGGGUGACGAUCAAGCAACAUUUCAUGAACCGAACACUAUCUUUUGAAGCAUCCGCGCUUAUCAAAUCUUGUUGAAAACAAUGUUUAUGUAGUAAAUAUUUAACUUGUCGUUUGGAAUGUUUUAGACUAGUUGUUAGUAACUCGAAUACUUUGUUAUGAAAACUUCCGUUUUGUUUAACUAAUUAAGGGUGCAAAGUAUUUCCUUAUUAAA